CCGGCGCCCCGCGCGCGCGAGGAAGCUGCGGCCGGGAGCCGGGGCCGCGGAGGCGCCGAGCGCCCAGCAGCGCGGGGAAGCGCCCAGCAGCCGCCGCUCGCGCGGCUCCUCCUCGCCAGCGCAGUCUCGCUCGCUGCCUCCCUCGCUCGGUCGGUUCGUGCGUCCGUCCGUCCGUGGGGCCCUCCCUCCCCCGCCGCCACUGCCGCCGCCACUGCCGCCGCCACUGCCGCCGCCGCCGCUGCCGCAGCCUCCGCCGCUCCAGCCCCGGCUCGGCAGCGCGUCCCCUCCCCGCCUCGCCGCUCCGCUCGCGGGCUCGCGGGCUCCCUCGCUCUCUCCCUUCCCCCGCCGCUGCCGGCGCCGCGCCGAGCGGAGCCCGGCCGGCCACGGGCUGCCUCUCCCGAGGUCCCUUUCCCGAGGGGGGGAGGUGGUGGGGGCGCGGCGCAGGCGGGGCGGGGAGGAGAGGAGAGUCCGGGGGAGGCGGCAAGGCUGCGCCCUCGGCUCCCCUCCGAUCCCCGCGGGCCCAGCGGCCCCAGGCCGGGCCGGAGAGCGCCGAGCCGCCAGGCAGUGGAGGAAGAGAGGAGGAGGACCCGGAGUCUCGCCGCGGGAGGGUGCCCAGGGCGAGGGCGUGCGAGGGGGAGUGACUCCGCGCGCGAGGGUGUGUAUGAGUGUGAGUGCGUGUGUGUGUGUCUGUGUGUGUGGAGAGGGGCGCGCGCGUGAGCGGGGGGUGGGGAGACGAGGCAGAGCCUAGUGCGUCUCCCCGGGCGAGUGGAGGAAUCCUAGGGUGUGCCUGGAGGUGGCGGAGUGUACCGACGCGGGUGUGAGCGCGUGUGCCAGCGAGGGUGGGCACGGGGGUGAGCGUGGCAAGGGCAGCAGCACCUGCUUGAGACCAAGCCCGGCGACCUGGCAAGGUGGGGCCCCCUACCGCGCAAUCUUUGCGGCUGGCCCCCGGCUCUCAGCUCCGAGUGCAGAGGCUGAAGAGGUACCCGGGGGACACACUGCCUCUAACCCCACCUAUGAGCCGCUCUCCUCUCGGAGGACGAAGGCACCAUCAGAAGGUCGAGAUUCGCCCUCCUCUCCCGCCACGUCUACCCACUACCUAGACCGGGAGUCUGGACUUGGGAGCGUGAACUCUCACCCGAGCCGGUCCCCUUACAACUGGAGCCCGCCCAGCCCCUCAGUCCCUCCCUGAAGCCCAUGGGUCCCCACUGCUCCGUGCCUCGUCGACCCAGGAUGGGGAGUGGGAAGGUCAGCAUGUGCCCACAGGGCCAGGUGUCCGGCCCAGAUUCCCACCCUCAGGGCGGCGGCGCGCAAAGGGCGCAGUCCCCGCCGCUGGGCGGACCCGCGGCUCCGGCUUUCCCGGUGUCUCCAGCCUCGGUGCCCGGAAUCCUGGAUCUCGGCCUGGCGCUCCGGAAGCGAGGCAGCUCCGUGCCCCAGCAGGGACGGGGAACGCUUGGCUUGAGAGAUCACAUUUCUGGGUGUGGAGAGGUGGGUGCCGAGGCAGAGAAAUGCAAAGUGCGUUGUGACCUCUGGGGUGUUCUAGACUGCGAGGGUGUUCUAGACCCUAGGACAAUUGUAGACCCAGGGCUGGAAAAGGACCUCCCUGAAUCCGGAACGGGGCUUCUGGCUUGUGAGAACCCCUAGCCCUCUUCCAGAUGAAGGAGUGGAAGUCGGUAAUUGUGGUCUGGGCCCUUGUGGCCCCUGGCACCUUGGAGUCCCUCAUUCACUCACUCUUACUUUUUCCGGAGCCCCCUUCAGUCUGUCAGUUUGAAAGGUACACAAUUGGCCCUUCAGGAGGUGGGCGUGGGCUCCAUUAGCGUUUGCCAGGAGUCCCGGAGCUGUGUGGGAUUUGCAUACAGUAAUAAUGAUUAACAACACUGCCACUCCCUGGCAGACAGGGGAAGAAUUCGGGGAAGGCCCUGGCGCUGCUCCCACCUCCCUCCUCCCUUUCCUCUGGGGAAGGGCUAAUUUUCUGGCAACUGCACUCCUCAGUUGCUCUGACCCCUGGGAUAAAGUGCCUCAGGUCCUGGGUGGUCACUACUCAGGAGGCAGGGGCACUUUCCUUCAGUACUCCAUCCCAUGUUCAAUUCGGGAAAGUGAAACCCAUAUUUUAUUUCUGCCCAGGUUUGAACUCCUGUACAUUCUCACUGUUGUUUAGCAUCUUGGGGGCAGCUCAGGGGUUGAGUGCCCCCCUCAGUGUUUGGAGGCUUCAGGAGACAGUUGGGCACAUCAUUUCUCCUCAGAAAGUCAACUAAUGGGACAGUUGUGGCCUCCUGAGACUCGUAAGCUCCGUUUGAAGACCAGACACUGGUCCAGACACCUGCCCCCUCAUUCCUCAUAAGCUCGUAACUCAUUGCUUAAGUGUGGUAGCUGUAGACUAUUCUCUCCUUUCUGUCUUAACCAUCUAGGGAAAAUAGGAAAGACUGGGAUUUCUAGUCUAGGCCAGUGUGGGUUUUGUUUACCAGUCCUUCCUACAACCAGGUGAUCUGCAAAAUGAGAGCAAGCGAUGGGGAGAAAGGAGGCCCCUUGAUUCGGGCAGCUGGAGUAGUCCUGCUGCCCAGGAGAUGCUGUCCCUCCCACCAGUCCCCAGUCAUCUAUUGCAUCUUUCCAGCACUGCCUGUCCUCACCUUCCCCCUCUGCCUCUGGUCCCGGCCUGGCCGGGAUUUUCACUUGCUUUUCCCCCAUGACACGGCCGCUUUUCCUUUAACUCUCAGCUUCUAUUUAAAAAGCUAAUUUGGGAGCUUGUCGAUGCUCCCAAUUCAGACAUUUUAAAUAGGAACUGAAAGUCAGGAGCUGCCAGGGCACUAGAUUUCCUCCCGUUGCCACCAGCACAGCUGAGGCAUUUGUUCAGUCACUCCUCUGGCCCUGGCCGUGUGUGUCUGUGUGUGUGAGCACCCGCGAGCUCAGGGUGUAUUUCAGGCUAUCUUUUCUAUUUAAAGACGGUGCUCCUAUGGAUGACUAUUCUUUCUCUGUGUGUGUGUCCUUUCCAAGCUGUGCACACAUGAGGAUUCUUCUUUAGUCUCAUGGCUGUGGCCGGUAUUUGCAAAGCUUGUCACCGUGUGGACUGUGAGGGUAAUUGGGAGCCCAGCUCAAAGUCGGCUGCUUCUUUGCUGACGUGCCAGGCUAGUGUGUCUGCGUGGCUGUUUCCCAGGGCUGCUCUGUUCAGGCUCUCUCUUUGAAGCUAUGCCUCAUAUGCCUGAGAAUGUCCUUAAGGGUCACUCCCACCCUCACUGCUUAUAGCUGUCCCAUUUUAGCAAUCUGCCCCAUGCUGGGGCAAGAAUUUUGGGGGUGGGCUGUACCUCUGAGGGUUACAGCCUUUCUACAUUUAGGGUGCUAUGUACCUUAGAAGUAAAAAGUACAGACUUUGAGGUGAGACUGCCUGGGUUUGAACCUGCGUCUGCUGUUAAUUAGCUGUGUGAUCAUGUGGAAGGUACUUAAUCCCUCUGUGCCAUGAUUUCUUCCUCUCUCAAAUGGCAAUAAAUAAUACUAUCUACUUUAUAGGGUUGUGAAAAUUAAAUGAAGUAACACAGAUAAAGUGCUUAGAAUCGUGCCUGGAACAUGGGAAGUACAAUAUAAUUGUUGGUUGUUGUUGUUCAAGGUAGGAGUGGUGCAGGCAGGAGGUGCAAAGAAAUCUGUCUGAGGAGGAAGAUAGAACUGCCGGAUUGUACACAGAGACACAUAUAGUCACUCACCCACCCAUGCAUGUAACAAUAAAAAUGGCAGGCCACAGCCCACAGGCAGUCAAGUUCACCUUGCUGAGAUAGUUAAUUCUGUAAGUCCCAGAAAAGGGAGAUUUCUGUUGAAGGAAUAGAGGAAGAGUCUAGGGAUAGAGAUGAGGAAGGGGCUUGACCAUGUCAGAAGCCCAUGGGACAUUUCUUGGGAGCCGAUUUUAUGCUGAAGAGUAAGUCCCGGGCCCCUCACUAUCCAUGUGGUCCCAGCCUCCCUUAUUUAACCACUGAAAGCAAGGCCUUUUGAAAGUGAGCUCCAGCGAGAAACUCAGGAGGGUGGCACCUCAUUCUCCCCAAGGCUCCCCUUGGGUUUGGGGUACUCUCACUUUCAUACUGCCAUUGCGUUCCAUCCCUUAUUCCCACAGCUGGGCAUGUGAGCUUUUAUUCAGUUGCUAUUAGAGUUUAUUUCACCUCGAUGGGCCCGCAGGAAGCUGCUAGCAGGAAGAGGAGCUCUGAAGGACAGGAGGCUGUCCAAGGGAUGAAAGCAACGUUGCAAAUGCUUGGCUUAGCAUAUCAGCUGUAAGCUGAGGAGCCACCAUAUGUUGGGCUCCUUGCUAGAUUUUCCAUAAUCCUGCACUGUAGAUAUUACCAUCAUUUUAUUGAUAGAGAACCUGAAGGUAGCUGGUGGAGAGGGACACUCCAGAAGGAUGUGAGGCUGCAUAGCUGGAUUGGAACUCUGACCUCUCCCUUUUGCCGCUAUCCCAGGAUCCUUGGUUUCCCCGCUUCUGAAAGUAGAGUAUCCUCCUCAGUCAGAUAGAGGGGCUAUCCUAAGAGGACACUCUUGACCUCUCCUGUAUUUGGCCUCCAUAAGUUAUGUGUGGGGUUGACAUAGUUUGAAUAUUUGUCCCCUCCAAAUCUCAUGUUAAAAUGCAACCCCCAAUGUUGGAGGUGGGCCUAGUGGGAGGUGUUCAGGUUAUGGGGGCAUAUCCCUCAUGCAUGUCUUGGUGCCCUCCCCAUGGUAAUGAGUGAGUUCCUGCUCUAUUAGUUCACGUGAGAGCUGGUUGUUGUAAUGUGUCUGGCACCUCCUUCCUCUCUCUCUUGCUCUCCCUUGCCAUGUGACACAUCUGCUUCCCUUUCCCACCCGCCAUGAAUAAAAGCUUCCUGAGACCUCACCAGAAGCAGAUGCUAGUGCCGUGUUUGUACAGCCUGCAGAAACCAUGAGCCAAAUAAACCUGGACUAAUACGGGGGUGGAGGCUCAGUAUGUCCAGGGUGGGGAUGCACCCUAUUUUUCUUCAGGGUGAUGUCUGCCUGAGGAAUUCCAAAGCUUAGGGGUGGCUUGGCUUUCUCUAGUUUCCCAAGGUGGGGUAGGAGGUGGUGGUGUAAAUGCUGACGAGCUUUGCCCCAGUCUCAGAAGGCCAGGGCUUUGCCUACCGGGUAUCAGCCCAGGUUGUCCAGCUUCCAGGCCAGGAGGCACUGUCCAACAUUGGUGGCCCCAAUGGCUGAAUGCUCACAACUAUCAGAUGCUUCUAGUCCCUUUCUGAGGGUGGAGAACUCUUGCUUCCUGCAGCACUAACUCCAUUUUGGAGGCCAGUAGUGGCCUGGAUGGUCAUCUCAUUGAUCAAUAUGCUUAGACCAGUUAUGGCAAAUGAGAAGCCAUCCAACUUGCUGGGCUCCAGUGGAGCUUCUGAAAGUCAGCCCUUCCAGUGGACCUUCUGCCAGCCUGACCCCUGCUCCAACCAAGGCAGCUCCUGGGGAAAGCAAAGUCCAGGUGGAGGGUUUUCUGCUCAUCAAGACCUCCCUUGGAGGGAGAUGCUAGGGAAGGAAGAGGAGGGAAGAGAAGGAGGAAAGCAAAUAUGAGAAGGAGAGAUAGGUACUGGGAGUUUGGGGGAAAUCCUAAUCAUUUGUUUAGUUUCUUGCUAGAAAAUCUGGAGAAGGGUGAGUGGAGGCUGGGGAUAUAACUCUUAGGUGCAAUGACUUGUUUUCUGCUGGUGGUUUCUUUUGCUUGUGUGCUGAUGUUUCCCAGGUCUCUGUCCUUGGCCUUCUUUGCUUCUCUCUCUGCCCUUUUCCCUGGAGAGUUUAUGCAAGUCCAUGGUUUCAAGUUCACUCAGAUGCUUAUGAUUUCUUCCUGCACUCUUCUGUUCCCAGUAAUGAUCCACUGUGCAUCUCCAUCUUUGUACAUAGGCACCUCUAUGCUUCAUCUCACCAGUGGCCUUAAUCCUUCUGCAAUCAAUUGUUUCCCCUAAAAAACCCUCUUCCUAUCAUGGUAUAUCCUCUACUUUCUUUCCAGCCUUACCUUCUUCUACUUACUCACAUCUUCCUUUCUAGCAUGUAGAUCUUUUCUUCAUUACCUGCAAAAUCUCAUAUCUUCAUGUCUUUGUACAUGCUGCACCCUCUUCCAGAAAUGCCUUCCACCACUUCCUAUUUCCUUUGUCUUCCUAGCAAACUUCCACUCAGCCUCAAACCUUAAAUACCCAAGAAAAAAGUCAUGUAAGUGUUGGUAAAGUCCUCCCCCACAUCCCAGGAUGAACUAGUCGUUCCCCACUUUGGAUUUUCACAGUCCUUCCUGCAUACCUCAAAUAUGGUUCUUAUGACCUGUAUGGCCUUGUUUUCUGCAUAGUGGUAUCCCUCUCUGGACUUCAAGCUGUUUAUGGCAAGGACCGUUGUCAGCCAUUUCUGAAUCCUAGCUCAGUGCUCGGGACAUUGCAGAUGUUCAAUACAUUUGCAUUAAUAAUUUAUUUUAACUUUAAUUUACGUGGCUCCCUUGAUUGUAUGUAACUGGGAAUAUGUGAUUAAUUUGUCAACUGGUUGGUCUCCAGGUCCUAUCUGAUUGAUCUUAAGCACUAGCAUGAGGACAGAAAGAAGAAUGAGGGUGUUCCAUUUUCAGCUGAUCCUACAUGAAAAGAGCCCCAAAGCCCCACUCCUCCAGUAGGGAGGAAAGGAAAGUCUUUUCGUAUCUACAAAGUGUUCUUUUCUUGAACCAGAUUGGUUUUCAGAUAACUCUUUUCUUUCCUUUCUGGCAGAAUGUCAAUCACAUAUCCAGAAUAUCACCUCCUUGGGCACAGCCAGGGCAUGGUCCAUUGAAAAUGUUCCUGAUUGCUGGAAGCUGACGGCUCACCAUAAAAGCCAAAAUGGGGACCUGUCAAAAAUGUUUUAGCCAAACUAUGGCUUGGCUCAGGAAGAUGCCAAGACCAAAGGCUGCUGAACUUUAAGUAUAAACUUGCAUGAAAAGCACAUUGCAGGUCUGAGACAGUGGAGGCUUAGUGGUGAGAACAUGAGCUCUGGAUAGACCUGGCUUCAAGUCUUGGCUCUGUCAUUCACCAGCUGUGUGAAUUUGGGCAAACCACUUUUCUUCUCUGAUGCUCAGUUCCCUCACCUAGCAAAAUGGGUUAUAAUGAUGGCAUCAACUCAUAAGGUUCAUGAGGACUGAGCUAGAUAAUGCAAACAACAUGUUUCAUAUACAAUAAUAAAUAAAAAUGUUGGCUGUUAUAAUAUUGUCACUGAGUCUACAUGUAUCUGAAACUAGCUCUUUUAAAUCCUGGGUACAGCUUUACAAGCAGUAUUGUGUAGUUUAGACAGAUCACCUGAGUUCUUUCUAUGUAAUUAUUGUUUCUACUGAACCUUGGUAAAUGUGUGAAAUCACAGAAGUUUGUCCCUAGACACUCCCCUCACCCCACUGGCUCCUCUCUCCAUUCUGUGCAACCCCAUUUCUGCAGCCUUGAGCUUCAGCCCAUUUCUCUCCAUUUCCUCCUCAUUAGCAAGAACUGAUAAAAUUAUUUGAACUGAUAUGUAAGUGACCAUCUCAUCCAGAGAUAUAGUAUUCACAUUUUAGUAGGUCAGAGCCUUAAGCCAAGGCAGUGAAAUAGAGUGGAUGGUACUUCAAGCAUUCAUCAAAGUAAUGGGGAAAGUUUGGGGUCCCAGGAGACUCUUCCCAAUUCCACAGAGUCCUGCCCAUUCAUAAAACUGGUACUAUUGAUGCAUUAUAAGCAACAAGGUGGUCCGUGUUUGAAUUCUGCAGCUGGAAAAUCAAGUCUCCAGCUUUUGCAAAAGUGUUGUAAUAGGGAAACUUGGACACUAAUUUUAUAUACCAACCUCUUCUUGGUAAAGAGACAUAGCUCAUGAGCACCAAGGCCUUUCCAGCAUUGCACAUCUAUGAUACUUAUACUCAAGUGCAUUUUUUUCUUCAGAGCUCAAGGCUAGAGUUGGGUGUUUUUGCCUCACUGGGUUUGUAGGAGACUCAGCUACAAAGUCAUUAAUUGCUUUGGUGAAUCAACAAGUAAAGAAAGACAGUCCAGCUAUUGUCCCCACACUGCAAAAUCAUAAGAGGCUUCUGGACUUCUCCACAAAAUCCUCAUUAAAGAUGAGUCCUCAUGGCUCUUACAGAAUUCUUUAUUAUGUCCUUUGUGCUGAGACUGCAAGGUAAAGAAAGAAAAAAGGGAAAUAACUAAAUUUGUUAUCAUGGAAAAUUUCAAACAUACAAAAGAUGAAAGAAUUGUAUAAUAUACCCCCAUGAACUUGUCAUUUAGCUUUGAAAGUUACCAACUCAUGGCCAAUCAUUUUUCAUCUGUACCCUACUCACACACUCCCCCACCAUAAUUUUGAAACAAAUUCCAAAUAUAAUUUCAUCUGUAAAUAUUUCUGUGAUUGCACCUUUGUUAUGGCCAACAAAAUCCAUCUUUCUAGAAGAGAAGUCAUUCUUCCCUCCCUCCAUGAUGCUAAGAACAUUUGGCCAGUACCUGCAUCCAUGCCCAGGAGUGGUCUCUGGGUUAGGCAAGCUUGAGGGUUUACUGAAUGUUAUCCAAAGUUUGUCCUUUUCCUUGGGUAGAAAAAGGAACCCAUAAAAUGUCUGGUAGAGGUGCCACUGUGUGCAAGCUUUUUUUUUUUUUUUUUUUUUUUUUUGUCAGCAGGGAUGAUGCUCAAUAGCUGUGAUGAGGUCCAAGCUGAGAGAAAAGAGUCAUGAUCAUGAAUCCCAACUGGAUUCAUCAUUUUCCACAUACUUUACUUCAUUUAGCUUUCACCAAUUCUCAUGUUAGUUCCAUUUUACAGAUAAGAAAACUAAGACCUAAGCUCACCCAGCUAGUAGUUACUUGUGGCAGAGACAGACUAGAUGCCAAUCAAAUUCAGUUCCUCUUUUCUGUAGAUACAGUUAGAUUACUUUCCCAGGUUCUCUUGCAGUUAGGUUUGGUCAUCUGACUAAGUUCUAGCCAAAGUAAUAUAGGCCAGUCCCAUGAAAAACAUCUAGGGCAAUUUAGCAUGUUCUUUCUUUCUCCAUCCACUGGCUGAAUGGAAAAAAUUUCAAGGGCUUAGAAGGGGACAGAGCCACAAGAAGGAAGGAACUUGGGUCCCUGGGUGACUAUGUGAAGUAGAGGUCCCUCCCAACUUCCUUUGAACUGUGAAAUACGCAAAAUAAAUAAAUAAAUAAAUUUUUAUUAUGUGAAACUGCUGAAAUGUGGGUGAUGUAUGUUCAAGUAGUAAUGCCUACCCUGACCAAUACAGUGGCAUAGAUGGGAUUUAAACCCUCAAUCUGACUAUGCCAGUGUCCAAAGUCUUCCCCUAAACCACACUGCCUCCAGGCACAACAAAUAAGAAUUGCUUAUAAGAAUCACCUACAUGCUCAGCAUGUGAUAGGACUGUCUUCAAGGAGAUCUCGCAUCUUAGAUUUGUGCUAAUAUGAUAGCCACUAGCCACAUGGGGCUGUUUAAAUUAAAGUUUAAAUUAAUUAAAAUAAAGUUAAAAAUUCAGUUUCUUAAUUGCAGGCUCACAUUUCAAGUGUGCAGUAGUCUUAUGUAGCUAAUGGCUACCACAUUGGAAUGUGCAGACAGAGAACAUUUCCGUCAUCAUGGAAAGUGCUGUUGGAUAAUGCUGUCUUAGAUAGACCUUCAUUCACAACGCACCCCUCCCCAGACCCCUGCAGAAAAGCUGGAAGAAGACGGGGAUGCUGCUCAC
rnacentral:lncRNA from 1 species